rnacentral:rRNA from 1 species
UACAGGGGGUGCAAACGUUUGCUCGGAAUUAUUGGGCGUAAAGCGCGCGUAGGCGGCUACUUAAGUCGGAUGUGAAAGCCCUUGGCUCAACUGAGGAAGUGCACCCGAAACUGAGUGGCUUGAGUACUAAAGAGGGUCGCGGAAUUCCCGGUGUAGAGGUGAAAUUCGUAGAUAUCGGGAGGAACACCGGUGGCGAAGGCGGCGAGCCUGGGUAGAUACUGACGCUGAGGCGGCGAAAGCGUGGGAGCAAACAGG